rnacentral:rRNA from 1 species
UACGUAGGGUGCGAGCGUUGUCCGGAAUUAUUGGGCGUAAAGGGCUCGUAGGCGGUUUGUCGCGUCGGGAGUGAAAACCAUGAGCUUAACUCAUGGCUUGCUUUCGAUACGGGCAGACUAGAGGUAUGCAGGGGAGAACGGAAUUCCUGGUGUAGCGGUGAAAUGCGCAGAUAUCAGGAGGAACACCGGUGGCGAAGGCGGUUCUCUGGGCCGAUACUGACGCUGAGGAGCGAAAGCGUGGGGAGCGAACAGG